GAAAAAAAAAGGAGGACAAAAACUGAAAGAAGACGAGGAGCUCGCGACCCCAAAACCCUAACCCCUGUAACUCUCGGCGGCGGCGGCGGCGGCGAUGGCGGACGGAGGCGGUGGACGGGCGGCGGAGCUCAAGGACCAGGGGAACGAGCAGUUCAAGUCGGGGAACUACCUCAAGGCCGCCGCGCUCUACACGCAGGCCAUCAAGCUCGACUCCGACAACCCCACCCUCUACAGCAACCGAGCUGCUGCAUUUCUGCAGCUGGUUAAGCUUAAUAAGGCACUUGCUGAUGCUGAGACGACAAUAAAACUGAAACCAGAAUGGGAGAAGGGUUAUUUCAGGAAAGGAUGUGUUUUGGAGGCCAUGGAGCAGUAUGAGGAGGCAAUAUCUGCUUUUCAAAUAGCUUUGCAGCACAAUCCACAAAAUACAGAAGUCGCGAGAAAGAUCAAGAGGCUUACUCAGUUAGCAAGGGAACAGAAGCGAGCUGUUGAUGUGGAGAACCUGCGUUCCAAUAUUGACAUCGGGAAGAACUUGCAGUCAUUGAAAAAGGAGCUGGUUACAAAGUAUGGAGAUGGAGAAAUGGGACAAAAUAUAUUCUCAUUUGUUAUCAGUGUGAUUGAAUCAGCGAUAAAGGUUUGGCAUGACACAGGAAAGGUGGAUGCUAAGGUCAAUUUUCUUCUUGAUGAUCAGAAGACUGACACUGAAAAAUAUGCCCCAGUGGUUAACAUUGAGAAGGCCUUUGAGUCACCCCAUACCCAUGGCAGUUGCUUCGCAUAUUUGCGGCAAUACUCUGAGGAGUCUUUUUCAAAGGCUGCCUGUAUGGUAGCACCUAAGAGCAUCAUCUCCUAUCCACAGGUCUGGAAAGGGCAAGGAUCAAGAAAAUGGAAGCUUGACCAGAGUGAUGGGUUCUUUGUACAAUUUGAAUCACCAAUUUUACGGAAGAUAUGGUUUGUUGCUAGCACAACAGAGAAGGGACGAGCAUUGUGCAGGAGCCCUGAGCCCUUGGACAUUACCAUCCACGAGAUCCUUCCUCGUAUAUUCAAAGAGAACGAAACCAGUGCUUGAACGACAGGUGCACCGUCGACGAGAUCUUGAUUCCACCACCCCUGACUGCGUGAUCUGUAUUGCUCGCGGUGGUUUACGGUUGAGAAGGGGGCAGGUAUUUUCUCACACAGGAAGAACUGAAUGCCAUAUGUCUUGUAAACCGACGAUCCAGUGUCGGUGUCAUGUACACCCAGGCACUCCAAUUUUGUUGCUGUGUGGUUUUUGCUGUAUGCAGUGUAUACAAGCUUUGGUGGGGUUAUGCUAGUUGCGUUUCUUUCGUUCCUAAAGAGAGAUAUUCCAGUGUGCAUUAGAUGCUUGUGCUCUGAUUUUAUUGUGUUAUGGCUGGCCUCACACUUUUUUUAAUAGAUAUAAGCCCCACAUUGUUGUGAUGUUGAAGCACACCGAAAUUCUCUCCUGAGCAAUCUGCAUGGAUGGAUAAUGAUGAAACGGUACCCUGGAAAUCUGGCAAGUGAUGCAUCGCCAUCCGUUGCUUUUCAGGCGCAUGAUGGUGUGAUGUAAAGAUUGUAGAGCCGUACCCGCAUCGAGAGCUAAUUAGACUAAACUAAACCCGUGUGCUGAGUAUAGUGCCUCCACCUUUUCUUUUGUCUAAAU
rnacentral:rRNA from 1 species